AUAUUGGUAUUAUAUUCAUAUAUAAAUAUAUUUUUUAAUAAAAUUUUAAAUAAUCUUGGUAUAUAUAUAAAAAUAUAAUAAUUAUAAUAAUUAAAUAUAUUUUAAAUAUAUUUUCUAAAUUCAUUUAAGUAUAUAUGUAUUAAUGUAAUACCAUUAAUAUAGACAUUUAAAACACUAGAUUUUAGUAUAUAAUAGUAUAUAAUAUUUAAUAUAUAAUUAAUUUAGAUUUAUUUCAAUUUU
rnacentral:tRNA from 1 species